UACGUAGGGUGCAAGCGUUAAUCGGAAUUACUGGGCGUAAAGCGUGCGCAGGCGGUUUUGUAAGUCUGUCGUGAAAUCCCCGGGCUCAACCUGGGAAUUGCGAUGGAGACUGCAAGGCUAGAAUCUGGCAGAGGGGGGUAGAAUUCCACGUGUAGCAGUGAAAUGCGUAGAGAUGUGGAGGAACACCGAUGGCGAAGGCAGCCCCUGGGUCAAGAUUGACGCUCAUGCACGAAAGGCGUGGGGAGCAAACAGG
rnacentral:rRNA from 1 species